GAUGUCUGGUUACCGAAUCUUCAUAACGCGGAUGCUAGUAGCACAUCUGCCUUUUCAUUACACUCUAUUGUUACUAACUUAUAAAAACAAAUCUUUUUCAGGCAUAAAACUCUUCCAAUGUGAAAUAUGUUCAGCUUCAUUCCGUACUUCAUCGAAUUUGAUGAGCCACAGAAAGAGAUCACACUCCAAAGAAAUCAGAUACCACUGUUCACAGUGUGACAGAGGGUUCUUCGACAAAACCAAACUGAAUAGACAUGUCGAUUCACAUAAUGAAAUUAAAAGAUAUGAGUGUGAAGUGUGCCAUUCCUGCUUCACCCGACGCUGUUAUUGGAAAAAACACCUUCUACGGCAACAUGGCGUAGUGAUACCAGCGCAACGCCCUGGUAGACAGAAAACAAACUUCGUAGUAGGAGAGAUGACCAGCAACGUGGUGCCUAAAUCUGUUCUAGACGCAUUAAAAGUCUAACAGCAACAUCGGUGUCCAGUGAUAUUAAAAUUUAUAAUGACCUCAUUUACACUGUGGGCGCUGAACGCGAAGGUCCCGGUUUCGAUUCCCGGUAGGAUCAUUUUGGGAAAUUAAAUUUUCUUAAUUGGUUCUGAUCUGUGUUCUGGCAUGUGCGCCAGAGUUAAUUCUGUUGUUCAGCUAGUCAUGGUAUAUAUAGUCAAGAGCACGUCAAACUUGACACUUUGUAAUUUGGACC